GACUAUUGACAACAAAUAUCUCAGCUCUCGUAUCGAUGAAGAACGUAGAGAAAUGCGAUACUUGGUGUGAAUUACAGAAUCCCGUGAACCAUCAAAUCUUUGAACGCAAGUUACGCCACAAGCCGUUAGGCCGAGGGCACGCCUGCUUGGGUGUCA